UCAUGAUGAGCAAGGCAUGGAGGCAGGUGACUCCUCGGCAGCAAGAGUGUGUGACUGGGAUUCCUCACCUCCUCAGGUCUUAGUGGAGCAGGAGAGCAGAGGGUGAACAGAAAGAGGGCUCAGGAUAUAAAACAUCAAGAGCUGUCUCACACCGACCCAGAUCAUCCAGCCCACCGUGGUUGAGGACUGUUGAUGGAAGCCGGAAGUGAUCAGCGAGUUCCUGUUCCCACUGAGCAUCUAUCUCCUCACUGUCUCUCCAGGAGAGCCCCAACGAAUAUGAAAGAGUUUUUUCUGCCA